CAGUAAUCUAAAAGAAAGUGAGUUGUUUAAUUUCCAACGUAUAGAGGCUCCAAAGAGAAAUUCAUACCAAUACACUUGUGAUUGGAAGAAAAUGAAUUGCCAUUGCCAAUAUACUUGAUUAAUUUGUACUUAAUUAUGUAAUUCGAAAUAAAAUAGCAUGCAUUACAAGACGCAAGAGCCGGUCAGUGGCCGCUGCCAAAUUGUAUUUUGGUUUCUUUAUGAGCGAGUCUUUGCUUGUCGUCUCGUGCAACGAGAACGCUUCCUGCGGUGCCUCCACUCUAGCAUCCAACAAGGCUCCGGUGUGGAAUUUAUAAACUAGGACACAGCAAGCAAGUCGAUCGAAGUUGCCAUGCACUUUCCUUCCCACCUUGCACUGUCACCAAAAGACCUACUCCAACCACCAUCUUCUUCCCUGAAUCAACACUAUUUUCCUUCCCCAGCUCAAGCAGCCAAACAGAAGACACCAACCAGCUACUGCGAUUCUCGCCGGUAAUUUCUUUCCUGCCCACCUUGCAGUGUUAUUCCUACUCUAGCAUCCAUCUCACUGCUCCUCCUUUCUUCAAUCACUGGCGAGCCACAAUCCAGCAGUAGUAUAAGGUGGGUCAGGUCGAAGAUGUCCAUACUGAUACCUGUCUAACCAUAAACCAAGAUUGAGAUCCUAGUCCACGACCAAGAAAGAACAAAGUGGCACUGCCUCACCAAUUCUGGCCAUUGCACAGCUCGUCAACUUGAGGUUUGUUUCCUUAACCGUUACGUUUCUGCAGCUAUAUAGUUGUGCACAUAUAGUGCCCACUGUGUUGUAAUUGUUAUAUGUCUCUGCAGCUGCUUAUGAGUAUCUAGAUCUGUGCAUAUAUAGUUGCCACUGUCAUGUACUUGUAUCAAUAAUGAACGAGAAGUCAGUACUAGUGCCGCGAUGGCUGCAUGUGUAGAUGGAAGAUGAUUGAAAAUAUUUGUUGUAUAAAAUUGAAAUGCAAUGUUGAAAUUAACAUAUGUUCUAAUUUCGUUACAGCAAAAACGGAAGUUCUCAAUCAUGGCCGGUGUCCUAGAUGCUUUGGCAUCCUACAUCCAAAACAUGCUUCUGCAGAUGGCGGCAGAAGAGGUGCAUAUGUUGCUUGGGGUGUCCGGUGAGAUUGACAACAUGGACAUCAAGCUUCGGGAUCUAAAGAACAUCCUUGCUGAUGCUGAUAGGAGGAACAUCACUGACAAAAGUGUCCUAGCAUGGGGGAUAGAGCUAAGGAAUGCUAUGUAUGNNNNNNNNNNNNNNNNNNNNNNNNNNNNNNNNNNNNNNNNNNNNNNNNNNNNNNNNNNNNNNNNNNNNNNNNNNNNNNNNNNNNNNNNNNNNNNNNNNNNACGGAAAGAAAGCGUUUGGCUAUGAAAGACCAAGAAACCUAGUUGACAGCCAUCCAUUAGAUCUAAAGAAAUGCAGAGUUGAAGUUUCCAAAAACUGUCCAGCAAGCAGAAGCUGGUCUUUUAGUACCUCACACCGCUACAGUCUUACCCACUAACGAAGCCAAUGGGUUCCUCUAAUACCUGCAAAAAAGUUUUCGGUCUGCAUUUGUCAAAAAACCACUUCAUUUCUUGUUAUCCAAAUUGUCCAAACUAGGGUCAUAGCUGCCAUUAAUAAUAAGGAAUUAAAAGUGUUACUAGUCCUCUUAAGACCAAUUAACAAAAAACAAUCAUUUAUACUAAGAGGAGGUGCAAUUCCAAACAACAGGCGUACCACACGCCACAAGAAUUAGUAUAAAAACAUUCGAAUAAGAGGUGGUGAAUAGUUUUAGGAGAAUCACAGAACACAUAUCUUGUGUCUCUAGCCUAGUUACGUUGGCAAGAUUAUCUUUGGUUAAAACAACACCUCUUUUUAAAUAUAAAAAAAAGACUUUUAUACAAAAGGGAGCCUCGCCUAGUCAAGAUAUAGGGGUCACCUUCAUCCAACAAACAUGCCAAGUCAGAUUUGUCGUGAUCAUUUUGGAAUAAUCCCAAGCAUCUGAUUUCACCACCAAAGGUGAUGAUUCUAUUAAUAUAUUACUUUAUUAAACAAUAAAAAACAGAAAGUGGCUUAAAUGAAAUGAACAAUACUAGGACCUUGUUUAAUUCACAAAAAUUUUUGGAUUUGACUAUUAUAGCAUUUUCGUUUUAUUCAGCAAUUAGUGUUCAAUCAUGGACUAAUUAGACUUAAAAGAUUUAUCUCACAAUUUAUAGAUAAAUUAUACAAUUAGUUAUUUUUUAUCUAUAUUUAAUGUUUUGUAUAUGCGUACAAAGAUUUUUUAUCAAGUGGGCGAUCAAAUUGUUAACAUCCAUCCGUCCCGCCCAACACUAACAUCAGCUUUUGCAGUGCACCAACCGCUAGCCUUUUCGUUUAUUACUAAAUCCAAGUUAUAGGUGCGGAGAGUGUUGCCGAUCGAACUUCCAUGUCAUGGGAUAAAUUGGGGCUCAGUAAUCUAAAAGAAAGUGAGUUGUUUAAUUUCCAACGUAUAGAGGCUCCAAAGAGAAAUUCAUACCAAUACACUUGUGAUUGGAAGAAAAUGAAUUGCCAUUGCCAAUAUACUUGAUUAAUUUGUACUUAAUUAUGUAAUUCGAAAUAAAAUAGCAUGCAUUACAAGACGCAAGAGCCGGUCAGUAGCCGCUGCCAAAUUGUAUUUUGGUUUCUUUAUGAGCGAGUCUUUGCUUGUCGUCUCGUGCAACGAGAACGCUUCCUGCGGUGCCUCCACUCUAGCAUCCAACAAGGCUCCGGUGUGGAAUUUAUAAACUAGGACACAGCAAGCAAGUCGAUCGAAGUUGCCAUGCACUUUCCUUCCCACCUUGCACUGUCACCAAAAGACCUACUCCAACCACCAUCUUCUUCCCUGAAUCAACACUAUUUUCCUUCCCCAGCUCAAGCAGCCAAACAGAAGACACCAACCAGCUACUGCGAUUCUCGCCGGUAAUUUCUUUCCUGCCCACCUUGCAGUGUUAUUCCUACUCUAGCAUCCAUCUCACUGCUCCUCCUUUCUUCAAUCACUGGCGAGCCACAAUCCAGCAGUAGUAUAAGGUGGG
rnacentral:lncRNA from 1 species